AGUAGCAACGGACACAGUCAAACAACUAUAACGGCGGCUGCUACAUCCCUGCCAGUUUAUAGAAGCAGCUCUACCUCUUCCAGAUGAAGGUUCGCCAAGUCAAGGAGCAGGCCAGCCAGAACAGGCAGAUG
rnacentral:snRNA from 1 species